rnacentral:rRNA from 1 species
GAGUGGCGGACGGGUGAGUAACACGUGGGCAACCUGGCUCAUAGAGGGGGAUAACAGAGAGAAAUUUCUGCUAAUACCGCAUAAGCACACACUGCCGCAUGGCAGAGUGUGAAAAGAGAAUCGCUAUGAGAUGGACCCGCGUCCGAUUAGCUAGUUGGCGGGGUAAUGGCCCACCAAGGCGACGAUCGGUAGCUGGUCUGAGAGGAUGAUCAGCCACACUGGAACUGAGACACGGUCCAGACUCCUACGGGAGGCAGCAGUGGGGAAUAUUGGACAAUGGGCGCAAGCCUGAUCCAGCCAUACCGCGUGGGUGAAGAAGGCCUUCGGGUUGUAAAGCCCUUUUGUUGGGAAAGAAAUCCUAUCGGUUAAUAACCGGUGGGGAUGACGGUACCCAAAGAAUAAGCACCGGCUAACUUCGUGCCAGCAGCCGCGGUAAUACGAAGGGUGCAAGCGUUACUCGGAAUUACUGGGCGUAAAGCGUGCGUAGGUGGUGGUUUAAGUCCGUUGUGAAAGCCCUGGGCUCAACCUGGGAAUUGCAGUGGAUACUGGAUCACUAGAGUGUGGUAGAGGGAUGCGGAAUUUCUGGUGUAGCAGUGAAAUGCGUAGAGAUCAGAAGGAACAUCCGUGGCGAAGGCGGCAUCCUGGGCCAACACUGACA